GCGAAUAGGGUGAUUUUGUAUUCUCUGUUAUUUCUUUUUAUGCCGUGGAUGUUGGGGUUGUCUCUUAUAAGUUGUGUAAGUGGUUCUAGUGACAGGAUGUAGAGAAUAGGUGAGAUUGGACAUCCCUGCCUAGUACCGUUUGUGAUGUCGAAUUGUUUGGAGACGAAGCCCCCCUUGGUCACCCUUGCUGUCGGUACAGAGUACAAUGCCUCCACUAGCUGCAUGAAUGUGUU